rnacentral:rRNA from 1 species
AGGCCUCUGAUACAAGCUUUCGCCUUAAGAUGAGCCCAUGGCCCAUCAGCUAGUUGGUAGGGUAAAGGCCUACCAAGGCUACGACGGGUCGCUGGUCUGAGAGGACGACCAGCCACACUGGCACUGAGAUACGGGCCAGACUCCUACGGGAGGCAGCAGUGAGGAAUAUUGCGCAAUGGGGGAAACCCUGACGCAGCAACGCCGCGUGUGGGAAGAAGGCCUUCGGGUCGUAAACCACUUUUGCACGGGACGAAAAAGGGAUAUCGAACAAAUAUCCCCGAUGACGGUACCGUGAGAAUAAGCCACGGCUAACUCUGUGCCAGCAGCCGCGGUAAGACAGAGGUGGCAAGCGUUGUUCG